CCUACGGGAGGCAGCAGUGGGGAAUAUUGGGCAAUGGAGGAAACUCUGACCCAGCGACGCCGCGUGCGGGAUGAAGGCCUUCGGGUUGUAAACCGCUUUCAGUAGGGAAGAAGCGAAAGUGACGGUACCUACAAAAGAAGCACCGGCUAACUAUGUGCCAGCAGCCGCGGUAAUACAUAGGGUGCAAGCGUUGUCCGGAAUUAUUGGGCGUAAAGAGCUCGUAGGUCGUUUGUUACGUCGGAUGUGAAAACCUGAGGCUCAACCUCAGGCCUGCAUUCGAUACGGGCAAACUAGAGUUUGGUAGGGGAGACUGGAAUUCCUGGUGUAGCGGUGGAAUGCGCAGAUAUCAGGAGGAACACCAAUGGCGAAGGCAGGUCUCUGGGCCAAUACUGACACUGAGGAGCGAAAGUCUGGGGAGCGAACAGGAUUAGAUACCCUGGUAGUCCAGACCGUAAACGGUGGGCACUAGUUGUGGGAACCUUCCACGGUUUCUGCGACGCNGCUACGCAUAGUGCCCGCCGUCGGGAGGUACGACGCGCGAGAAGUUAAACGUUAAAGUAGUAGUAGUAACGGUCGUGAGACGUGCGACGGACGACGACGAGGGAGGAGG
rnacentral:rRNA from 1 species